rnacentral:lncRNA from 1 species
CAGGGAGGGACCGGUCCCAUCGGGCUGGGUUGUGGAGGUCUCUGAUGAGACCGGUCCCUGGUGGGCAAGGACCGGUUCCCGAACGUUGGCCCGACGAGACUUAGCCAAAUUUGGCUAAGUCCUGAGAAUGCAACUCUCGGGAACCGGUCUCUCGGACGAGGACCGGUCUCCCGGGGACCGGUCUCUCAGGCAAGGACCGGUUCCCGAACGCGAAAACCCCUCUGCCCGAGAUGGCAGCCUUCGGGGACCGGUCUUCCCGAGCUGGGACCGGUCUCUGACUGCGAAAAUGCCCAGAGAGGGCUGAUCCAAAGGAUGAAAAGUUGAGGGGGCUAUUUGCAAAAUGGCCUUUAAUAGAGGUGGGGGACCCCUCUCUUUCCCUCAUUGCUCUCUAACUCUAUCACUCUUUCCCUCUCUCUCUCUAGAAAGAAAAGAAAGAGAAGAAAGAGAAGAAGGAGAAGAAGAAGAGGAAGGAGAAGAAGGGAAGAAAGAAGAAGAAAGAGAAGGAGAAGACUAAGAAGAAGAGGAAGGUCAUCUUCUCUCCCUCUCCCUCAAGCUUGGAGCUUAGGUUAGAGGUAAGCUUCCAACCCUUUAAUGGAAAUUCUAGGGUUUUGGGUUUUUAUGGUUUAGAAUUGGUUCAAAUGGAACCGAUUGGGAAUGAAUAGAUGGUUCGAGCUCAAAAUCGAAGCUCGCACCAUGGAUUUCCCUCUCGUCGCUAUUCUAGGGCACGGAUUGGGAUUUUGGGAAAUAUAGGGUUUUGAUCUAUCUUAAUAGGUCGUAAACCAAAUUGCUAGGUCUCGAAACGCGUCGGCGAAGACGGUUUGCCGAUCCGACGAGCGGGUGCGGAGUUAUCGCCGAAUCGGGUACUCGAGGGCUCGCUUUGCCCCGAGGAGUUUAAGCGGCGUGCAAGAACCGCAACGUCGAGCUUUCUACUAUCGUGGCAUCGCCAAGAGGUGGGUGGUGUCCAUCCCGAGGCAAUCGGGCUCCCUUCUAUGUCUUAGUACAUGUCGACCCUUGCAUCUUGUAUUAUUGCAUUAUAGGAUGAUUAUGCAUUGCCUUUCCUUAUGCCUUCCUUGAUGAUAUCGUAGCAUGUAUUGGAUAUUUGACGUAGUGGAUUGAUAAGGAUUGGGUCGAGACUUGUGAAUCCUAUAGUGCAGAGAAAGUGAUGGGCUCAAUGGUUGGUCUAAUGUUAAACAGAGAACGAGUGGCAUCUAGUCGAUAGUAAACAAUGGACGAGUGGCAUUUAGUUGAUAGUAAGCAAAGAACAAAAGACACAUAUGUGAGUCAUAGUGUAUAUGAAACCUAUGGACUAUAUGAUGAUUGUAACCCUAGAGGAUAGGGUAUUCUCGAGAUGAGGAUUAGAUCAUGCUCACGGUCUGUUUUAAAUCUUGUGAUGGAAGCCCGACACAAGUAGUGCGCUCCGGAUGUUGGUCACGCCAGGGAUUGCCUAUAUGGCCCCGCCAGACGGUCUCGGGUCCGUAGUGUGAGUGAAUUCUCCCUACGUGUCGAGAUGGCUAGUGAGCUGUAGGCGAGCCUUCGGGUAAGCCACGAGAUUGAUGAACAAGUAAAUGAGGUAAACAAUCGAGUGAAUAGCUUCAUCUUUGGACAUGAUAACCGGUUAGCUGCUUACCUAUUUCAUUGUACAUGCAUCAUAUAUUAUGAUUGGGCAUAGUAGAGUAGCUUUACUUCUGUCAUCUACCGCUUUCCUUAUCUAUCUAUCUAUCUAUCGAUUAUCUACUUGUGCCCGCUUGGACCUAGUGGGGAGAUCAGCGGAGUCGGCGGCCGAACCCACUGGGAACUAAGGAAGUUAAUUCUCACCCCCAUUUUACUACAGGUUCCAGUUCGGGUGUCCCCGGUGAGCGCGAGGAUCGCGGUAAGGGCCCGGCGUUCUAGUCGCAUUAGCUACCUCCCUUUUGUAUUAGCCAGCACCCCUUUUUGUAUUGGAGAGUAGAUGAUGUAUAGAGUGAGGUUCGAGUGAUUGUAUUUAUAUUUUGGAAGAAUGUAAAAGAUGUAAAUGAAUGUAAUAGAUAGCUCUUCUCUCUUGAUGUACUUGUAUAUGUUUCUAUACUUGUAUCUUGCUCUCGGUUGUUGCACUAGUGGUGCUUCUUGAUCGUGUAUUUAUGAAUUGAAUUCCUGGGUAAAUUCUUAUACAUGAUCUGUUGGUUGCCUUGGGCGUACAGGGGAGGUCCUGUCCGUUCGGCGUCUGUUCGACGCGCCCGGGCCGGACCAAAUUGGUAGCGGUCACGGGGCGUGACA